rnacentral:rRNA from 1 species
CAUGCAAGUCGAGCGGGGAUUGGGUGCUUGCACCUAAUCUUAGCGGCGGACGGGUGAGUAAUGCUUAGGAAUCUGCCAUUUAGUGGGGGACAACAUUCCGAAAGGGAUGCUAAUACCGCAUACGCCCUACGGGGGAAAGCAGGGGAUCUUCGGACCUUGCGCUAAAUGAUGAGCCUAAGUCGGAUUAGCUAGUUGGUGGGGUAAAGGCCUACCAAGGCGACGAUCUGUAGCGGGUCUGAGAGGAUGAUCCGCCACACUGGGACUGAGACACGGCCCAGACUCCUACGGGAGGCAGCAGUGGGGAAUAUUGGACAAUGGGSGGAASCCUGAUCCAGCCAUGCCGCGUGUGUGAAGAAGGCCUUUUGGUUGUAAAGCACUUUAAGCGAGGAGGAGGCUACCUGGAUUAAUACUCUAGGAUAGUGGACGUUACUCGCAGAAUAAGCACCGGCUAA